GCCUCGGUGGCUUAGGGGUAUAGCGCGUCCUUGGUAAGGACGAGGUCGAGGGUUCAAAUCCCUCCAGGGGCU
rnacentral:tRNA from 1 species